rnacentral:rRNA from 1 species
CACGUAGGGGACGAGCGUUGUCCGGAUUCAUUGGGCGUAAAGCGUGCGCAGGCGGUUUUGUAAGCCAGAUGUGAAAUCCCCGGGCUUAACCUGGGAAUGGCAUUUGGGACUGCAAGGCUGGAGUUUGGCAGAGGAGACUGGAAUUCCCGGUGUAGCAGUGAAAUGCGUAGAGAUGCGGAGGAACACCGAUGGCGAAGGCAGCCCCCUGGGCUAGCACUGACGCUCAGGCACGAAAGCGUGGGGAGCAAACAGG